rnacentral:rRNA from 1 species
GUCUACGGCCAUGCCACCCUGAACAAGCCCGAUCCCGUCUGAUCUCGGAAGCUAAGCAGGGUCGGGCCUGGUUAGUACUUGGAUGGGAGACCGCCUAGGAAGACCAGAUGCUGCAGGCG